ACGCUCGACACCUACGGAGGCAGCAGUGGGGAAUAUUGCACAAUGGGGGAAACCCGUGAUGCAGCGACGCCGCGUGGAGGAAGAAGGUCUUCGGAUUGUAAACUCCUGUUGUUGGGGAAAAAGAGGAUGGUACCCAACAAGGAAGUGACGGCUAACUACGUCGCNNCNCGCGAGUAUNGNGGCGGNGNGAGAG
rnacentral:rRNA from 1 species